rnacentral:rRNA from 1 species
AGUUGGUUAGGUAACGGCUUACCAAGAACACGAUGUUUAGGGGACAUGAGAGGGUUGUCCCCCACAGUGGUAGUGAGCCACGGACCAGAGUCAUACGGGAGGCAGCAGUGAGGAAUAUCGGUCAAGAGUCGCAAGCAUGAACCAGCCAUCCCGCGUGAAGGAAGAAUGCGAUACGCGAAGUAAAUUUGUUUUCCAGGGGGAGAAUAAUCCUGUCGUGACAGGACUGGACGGUACUGAGGGAAUAAGCAUCGCCUAACUCCGAGCCAGCAGCCGCGGUAAUAGGGAGGAUGCGAGCGUUAUCAGGAUUUAUUGGGUUUAAAGGGCGGGUAGCCGGAUUGAUAAGUCAGUGGUGAACUUGUACAGAUUAAGGGUAGUCUUUCCGUUGAUACUGUUAGUAUUGAGGGAGGUCAAGGCAGAAGGAAUGUGUAAUGUAGCGGUGAAAUGGUUAGAUAUUACACCGACCACCGAUUGGGAAGGCAGCUUGCUGGGUCAUGACGGACGGGGAUGCAAGAAAGGGUGGGGAUCAAACAGGAAUAGAUACCUAGGUAGUCCACGCAGUAAACUACGAUCACUGGCUGUGGGCGAUACACGGUC